rnacentral:misc_RNA from 1 species
UAAAAAUAAAUAAUAUUACACUUGGAAAAUAUAAUGAAAAAUUAAUUUAGGGUUACCUAAUGUAAAUAGCAAAAAUGGAGGGUAAAUGGAGUAAUUAUCAAUUAAAACAUAUAAUAUGAUUUAAUUAAGGUGAGUGGACCACUAAGGGAAUUAAAAAUUCACUAAGUGGGCAGAUUACUCCACUAAUGUCUUCUUCUUCCUCUCAAAUCCUCACUUUGCCGAAUUGAAUUUUCUCUCCAUUGUCCACCAUGGCCACACCUUGCAUGCAAGCUCCACUCCUAAUGAUCAAGCCACAAUUUCUCCAAUUGUUCUUCAUUAAACUUAUUUUACACAUCAUGGGCAGCAUGUAGGAAGCAAGAAAGAGAAGUUUUGGUGAAGACUUAAGAAGUCUCAUCCAUAGGUAAGUUUGUGUUUUUGAAUGUUGCUUUGUUAAAGUUUGUAAGCAUGUUAUGGGUGUUUGAAUUAUGAAGAAAUUUUUGAGGUUUGAUGUUGAAUGGGAAUGUGUAAUUUUGGCAGCCAUGGAAAUACCUUGAAGGCAGUUUAAUUGUGCUUGUAAAUGGUGAAUUAAAUGAUUGAUUAAAUGUAUAUUGUGUAGGAAAUUGUUUAGGUGAUGUAUACUUAGUACAUGUAAAUGUAAAAUGAAAUUUAAAGCUUGGAAAGUAAUGGAAUGUAAGUGUACCAUUGUGGCAGUUUGCUAACCCUUGAAGAAUGCUGGAAUUCAUGCUUGGUUUAUGGUAUAUUAAUGUUGAAUUGUGUUGAAUGUUAGGGCAGUUUGAGUGUAUAUAUGAUGGUGUGAAGUUGGAUAUGAAAAAAGUGUUAUGGUUAGGUGAUUGAAUUGUUAUAAAUUGAGUUGAAAAAUUCUGCACUUUAUGGUGUAUGUUGAAUGUAAUUGUAAGCUGUCAAAAUGACCUAUAAUGUGUUGUGAAUUAUGUUUAGGUCAUGAUACAACCAGAAUUGACUUGAAUAUUGAGUUUGGUAAGUGUUAGGAGUGAUCCUUGAUGUGUAUAAAAGAAAUGCAAUAAGGCAGUUUGUGUUUUAGGCCUAUAACUUUAAGUGUGUGACUCCGAUUGGUAUGAGACCAAUUGGAGG